rnacentral:rRNA from 1 species
UACGGAGGGUGCAAGCGUUAUCCGGAUUCUCUGGGUUUAAAGGGUGCGUAGGCGGAUAUGUAAGUCCGUGGUGAAAUCUCUGGGCUUAACCCGGAAACUGCCAUGGAUACUAUGUGUCUUGAAUGUUGUUGAGGUGAGCGGAAUAUGUCAUGUAGCGGUGAAAUGCUUAGAUAUGACAUAGAACACCAAUUGCGAAGGCAGCUCACUAAGCAAAUAUUGACGCUGAGGCACGAAAGCGUGGGGAUCAAACAGG